GACGAACGCUGGCGGCGUGCUUAACACAUGCCAGUCGUACGGUAAGGCCCUUUCGGGGGUACACGAGUGGCGAACGGGUGAGUAACACGUGAGUAACCUGCCCACAACUUUGGGAUAACGCUAGGAAACUGGUGCUAAUACUGGAUAUGUGCUCCUGCUGCAUGGUGGGGGUUGGAAAGCUCCGGCGGUUGUGGAUGGACUCGCGGCUUAUCAGCUUGUUGGUGGGGUAGUGGCCUACCAAGGCGGCGACGGGUAGCCGGCCUGAGAGGGUGACCGGCCACAUUGGGACUGAGAUACGGCCCAGACUCCUACGGGAGGCAGCAGUGGGGAAUAUUGCACAAUGGGCGCAAGCCUGAUGCAGCAACGCCGCGUGCGGGAUGACGGCCUUCGGGUUGUAAACCGCUUUCAGCAGGGACGAAGCUUUUUGUGACGGUACCUGCAGAAGAAGCACCGGCUAACUACGUG
rnacentral:rRNA from 1 species